UUCAAUGUGGAAAUGGACAACAAAUUAUACUUGGACUAGAAACAAGAAAGGAGAAAAAUAAACGGAACAAACUGUUAAGUGACUGUAGAGGUUUACUGCAAGUGUCCCUGAAGUGAAUCUCGUAUAUCUUCAAAGUUUUCAAGUUUUCCAAGUGGAAUUAGAAGCCAUUCUUUUAAGAGAAGGACGUCCCCAUUCCAUUUCUUCUAUUUUAUUCAGCAGUUUAUGAGCUUUAAUAAAUGCCAGUGCAGAAUCCAAGUCUUCAAAUAUCUUUGGUCCUUCAGGAAGGAAAAUCCUCAAUCUUGCAGGGAACAAAAGGAAAUUACAAUCCUUGUCAUGAAAGAAGAAUUGCAGUGAAAUUAUUCUGUUCAUUUUCCUGUACAGUAUCAAAUUUUAACAAAAAAUGCUUACAGAAAACACCAUUUAGUUAUCGUAUUUGU